UUUUUUUUUUUUUUUUUUUUUUUUUUUUAAACCCCAACCCCAAAAAAAAAAAAAACAAAACAAAGCUUUU
rnacentral:ribozyme from 12 species